UUAAAAACAUGUGGACAUUUUUAUAACAACUGACCUUUCAGCUGCAAGAACUUGCACUUUUUGGGGUUUCACUCCAUAUUAGGACCACCAUAUAGUUUAUAUUAUUGUUAUUGUUAUAGAGAUACUUUUAGUUUUUCUGUUGCUGAAACAGUUUUUGGACCAACUUAGUUUAUUUUGGUUUUGUUUAAUUCUGGAACAUGGUGAUUGUAUGGGUCCUCUCUUUUGAGCUACUUAUUAUCAUCAUAAUAAUAAUAAUAAUAAUAAUAAUUCAAAAAGGUUUAUAUGUUGCCUUUCAGGACUUCAUUGUCCUUUUACGAAGGAAAAGGGAAACCACAAAUUAGUAGGAUGUAAGUCUAAACAGAGGACAGCAGAAAAAAACAAACAUAAUCCAAUCAAAGCAAUCGAACAAAAAAUAGAUGUUACACAAUAGAAAACCUACAACAAAAACAGAUUGGAAGUGAGAACCAGGAACCAGAAAUAUCAGGAAAAAUGCAAACUGAUGUCACAGACAACCCAAAAUCUUCUCUUCCCCAAUUUGAUUUGCUUAGAUGAUUCUUUUAUGUGGGGAAAUGUUGGAUGAGAGUUUGAAAGGAGCAGUGGUGCUGUGCCAAACUCAUUAUCCCAGAAUGUCCCCACUGCAGUCAUGCAGUCUCUUCACAGUGACCAUCUGUUUUAUAGACUAAGCCUGCUUAAAGGAGAGGUGCACUCUAAUAAUUCGAUGCAAUAAUUUUGGGAUUAUUCUUUCGUUGUUGAAUAGUGCCCUGAUAGUAUGCGCUCUCGUAUUUAAAGUACCUGCUUGGUUGACAACAGUGUAGAACAGUGAUUCUCAGCUGAUACAGGAAUAUUUUCUGAUAUGAUCACUGAUGGCAAGGGCAAGGCUAUCUUAAAUAAUAAUAAUAAUAAAAAUUAAGCAAAAUGUAGAGCAGGGGUUCUUAACUUUGGCCAUCAAGAUCCACUUUCCUGCGGAUUUCAGCUCCAAACAUAAUCAAAAACACCUGAUUAAUUAAUCAAAUAAUGCUUACUUGUGCAUAAUGUAAACCUUUGGGAGACCACAGACAGUUGUCGUUACCUGUACUGCAUUAAUAGAAAGUCAGUUAAUAUAAAGUAUUAUUCAGAUUAUAAUUUGACCAUGGGGUGGAAAGAUUUAUGAUGGUUCCAUGUGCACUCACCAUUUUCAAUUUUACAUCUCUCACAACAAAAUUUGGUUUUACCAUUGUAAACAGAAAUUGCAGUCUAUAGAGCAGAGUUUGGCUCCUACCUCAAUACAAUUCACCUACCAGUAACUUUCUAGUUAUCCUGAAGACCCUGAUUAGCUUGUUCAGGUGUGUUUGAUCAGGGUUGGAGCUAAACUCUUCAGGAAAGCCAGAGUUGAGAACCCUGCUAUCGAGACUGAAGUUUCUGUUAACACUGGUAAAACCAAUUUGGACCCCGAGGGCUAGAGUGGAGAUCCUCUGCUGUAGAGCAUAUUUAAAAGUAUAUGUAAACAUUUAGCAAAGUUCCAUGUUUAGGGUCAGUUUCUAAUGGAAGAGUUUGAAUCUCAGUCCUAAAUUUUCUUUAGGUUGCACUUAAGUAUAGUGCACAUGCAACAUUUCAGACAAGAGCUGGAGGAAUGGUCACCGAGACAGAACAACAGGUAGCGAAAAAGAAA